GAUGAACGCUAGCUACAGGCUUAACACAUGCAAGUCGAGGGGAAACGGCAUUGAGUGCUUGCACUCUUUGGACGUCGACCGGCGCACGGGUGAGUAACGCGUAUCCAACCUUCCCAUUACUGUGGAAUAACCUGCCGAAAGGCAGACUAAUACCGCAUAGUCUUCGAUGACGGCAUCAGAUUUGAAGUAAAGAUUUAUCGGUAAUGGAUGGGGAUGCGUCUGAUUAGCUUGUUGGCGGGGUAACGGCCCACCAAGGCGACGAUCAGUAGGGGUUCUGAGAGGAAGGUCCCCCACAUUGGAACUGAGACACGGUCCAAACUCCUACGGGAGGCAGCAGUGAGGAAUAUUGGUCAAUGGACGGAAGUCUGAACCAGCCAAGUAGCGUGCAGGAUGACGGCCCUAUGGGUUGUAAACUGCUUUUGUAUGGGGAUAAAGUUAGGGACGUGUCCCUAUUUGCAGGUACCAUACGAAUAAGGACCGGCUAAUUCCGUGCCAGCAGCCGCGGUAAUACGGAAGGUCCAGGCGUUAUCCGGAUUUAUUGGGUUUAAAGGGAGCGUAGGCUGGAUAUUAAGUGUGUUGUGAAAUGUAGACGCUCAACGUCUGACUUGCAGCGCAUACUGGUUUCCUUGAGUACGCACAACGUUGGCGGAAUUCGUCGUGUAGCGGUGAAAUGCUUAGAUAUGACGAAGAACUCCGAUUGCGAAGGCAGCUGACGGGAGCGCAACUGACGCUUAAGCUCGAAGGUGCGGGUAUCAAACAGG
rnacentral:rRNA from 1 species